CUUGUAUAAAACAUUUUAAAGAAGAUGCUUGGAGAUGCUUGGGUAAAUAAUAAAAUUCAUGAUAAACUUACUGUAUUAGUAAAAGCACUAAUUUCUUUAAAUUCCCUUGACAGAUUUAAUGUAAUUGAGUUUUUAACCUGUCAGAGAGGAUAUGUUUUUAACAUUCAAAAUGUUAWAUGCUCUGAAAUCUUGGAGCAAAAACUGGAGUCAGUGCCAGAUCAAACAAGUUCAGAAGAGCAAAUGGAGGACUGGUCAAAAGGAUGGAAGGAUCUUCUUGUAUUUGGAUGACCCAAAUGUUGCUCUCAGAUAUGAUCAUUUAUGUUUCACAGCAGAAGCUUACAAAAGUUAGCACUUUACGUGACUGAUUGGCUUUAAGCAAGUGCUAGAAAAGUGGCCUGUGACUAAAUGACUUGUAGGAUUGAAAAACGGCACUGACACAGGAGGGAGACCUUCAGUACAUCAUAAAAGGGUGGAUUUUGUUGGCAAAUGGCUCCCUGUAGGUCAAAAAAAAAUUGAAUGUGUGUGUCAACCUCAAAGAUGCCUGCUUCAUCCGAUCCUCAUAGCAUCUUGUGAAUUCUUUUUCUGGAGUUUUAUCCUAUGUGUACUUUCUCAAAAGAUAAUAAACGUAAAGUUUGUCGUGAAAAGAGUCUGAUG
rnacentral:lncRNA from 1 species